rnacentral:tRNA from 1 species
GCGGAUGUGGUGAAAUUGGUAUACACGCCAGACUUAGGAUCUGGUGUCGCAAGACGUGGAAGUUCGAGUCUUCUCAUCCGC